rnacentral:rRNA from 1 species
UGAGGGAGCAACGCCGCCUGAGUGAUGAAGGUUUUCGGAUGGUAAAGCUCUGUUGUUAGGGAAGAACAAGUGCGAGAGUAACUGCUCGCACCUUGACGGUACCUAACCAGAAAGCCACGGCUAACUACGUGCCAGCAGCCGCGGUAAUACGUCCCCUGGCAAGCGUUGUCCGGAAUUAUUGGGCGUAAAGGGCUCGCAGGCGGUUUCUUAAGUCUGAUGUGAAAGCCCCCGGCUCAACCGGGGAGGGUCAUUGGAAACUGGGAAACUUGAGUGCAGAAGAGGAGAGUGGAAUUCCACGUGUAGCGGUGAAAUGCGUAGUGAUGUGGAGGAACACCAGUGGCGAAGGCGACUCUCUGGUCUGUAAC